rnacentral:rRNA from 1 species
AUGGCUCAGGAUGAACGCUGGCGGCGUGCCUAACACAUGCAAGUCGAGCGAAGGAUAUAUAGUGAAAUCUUCGGAUUGAUCUAUAUAAACUUAGCGGCGGAUGGGUGAGUAACGCGUGAGAAAUCUACCAUGCACUAGGGGAUAGCCUCGGGAAACUGGGAAUAAUACCCUAUGACACUUACAUUUCGCAUGAAAAGUAAGUUAAAGCGUUUAGCGGUGCUUGAUGAUCCCGCGUCCCAUUAGUUAGUUGGUGAGGUAAUGGCUCACCAAGACUACGAUGGGUAGCCGGCCUGAGAGGGUGACCGGCCACACUGGAACUGAGACACGGUCCAGACUCCUACGGGAGGCAGCAGUGGGGAAUAUUGCACAAUGGAGGAAACUCUGAUGCAGCGACGCCGCGUGAGCGAUGAAGGUCUUCGGAUCGUAAAGCUCUGUCCUAAGGGAAGAUAGUGACGGUACCUUAGGAGGAAGCCCCGGCUAACUACGUGCCAGCCGCCGC